UAUGUACUCCCUCCGUUCGAAAAUACUUGUCAUCAUAAUGGAUGAAAAUGGAUGUAUCUACAACUAAAAUACAUCUAGAUACAUCCAUUUCAAUGACAAGUAUUUCCGGACGGAGGGAGUAUGAC
rfam:Triticum aestivum genome assembly, contig: Triticum_aestivum_CS42_TGACv1_scaffold_404525_5BL